rnacentral:rRNA from 1 species
GUGGUGGCAAGCGUUGUCCGGGAAUUAUUGGGGCGUAAAGCGCGCGCAGGCGGUUCUUUAAGUCUGAUGUGAAAGCCCACGGGCUCAACCGUGGAGGGUCAUUGGAAACUGGAGAACUUGAGUACAGAAGAGGAAAGCGGAAUUCCACGUGUAGCGGUGAAAUGCGUAGAGAUGUGGAGGAACACCAGUGGCGAAGGCGGCUUUCUGGUCUGUAACUGACGCUGAGGCGCGAAAGCGUGGGGAGCAAACAGGAUUAGAUACCCUGGUAGUCCACGCCGUAAACGAUGAGUGCUAAGUGUUAGGGGGUUUCCGCCCCUUAGUGCUGCAGCUAACGCAUUAAGCACUCCGCCUGGGGAGUACGGCCGCAAAGGCUGA